GCCAUACUAUGGCGCAUUGUGCUGAAAAGUAAACGAUGACCCCCGAUGAACUUCGGGAUAAAAUGUGCAUCAAAAUGAAAAAUUGUUGCUGGCCUGGGUAACUUCCCGGGUUGGUUUUCUU
rnacentral:sRNA from 1 species